GAGGAACUGUCAUGACCAAGAAGAGCCCAAAGAAACCUGAAAGGAAGCUCAAAGAAGCCAAGAAGAUACUCAUGGAUGAAAUGCUUUGCACAUAUGGGAUGGAAAAUUGUGCUGUAUUAAGUCAAAAAGCAGCUUCUGAAGAAUGUAUUAUGGCUGCAGCUUCACAGGGAGAGAGAAACAGCUGGGGCGGUUGACAUCUGAAACAGGAGUGGCUGAUCGUUCCUUGCGCAGCAGAUGGGCUUGGGUUAUGAAUAAGCAGCAAAUGUGAAAAAGAGAUUCUCAGGGUUGAGCCAGGCUUGCUUCGUGCAAAGCCAGUUAACCCUUGAUGCUUGCCAUGGGUCCAAGGUCUGGGUUGUCAGGCUGUUUCUCACCAUCAGAGAUCUUAUAGCACCAAUGGUGAUGAGUCCUCAAGCAAAACUGCCCUGGGGGAAAUGCAC
ensembl:lncRNA